GGGCCCGCACAAGCGGUGGAGUAUGUGGUUUAAUUCGAUGCAACGCGAAGAACCUUACCAGGGUUUGACAUCCUGCGAAUUUCUGGGAAACCGGAAAGUGCCUUCGGGAGCGCAGUGACAGGUGGUGCAUGGCUGUCGUCAGCUCGUGUCGUGAGAUGUUGGGUUAAGUCCCGCAACGAGCGCAACCCACGUCUUUAGUUGCCAGCAUUUAGUUGGGCACUCUAGAGAGACCGCCGGUGAUAAACCGGAGGAAGGUGUGGAUGACGUCAAGUCAUCAUGCCCCUUACAUCCUGGGCUACACACGUACUACAAUGCUACGGACAAAGGGCAGCAAACUCGCGAGAGCUAGCAAAUCCCAUAAACCGUGGCUCAGUUCAGAUCGUAGGCUGCAACUCGCCUACGUG
rnacentral:rRNA from 1 species